ensembl:snRNA U6 U6 spliceosomal RNA
GUGCUCGGUUCAGCAGCACAUACACAAAAAAACUGGAAUGAUACAGAGAAGAUUAGUAUGGCCCUCGUUCAAGGAUGACACGCAAAUUCGUGAAACUUUCCAAAUUUUC